UGGGGAUUCUUGCACAAUGGGGGCAACCCUGAUGCAGCUAUGCCGCGUGAGCGAUGAAGGUUUUCGAAUCGUAAAGCUCUGUCCUAUGGGAAGAUAAUGACGGUACCAUAGGAGGAAGCCCCGGCUAACUACGUGCCAGCAGCCGCGGUAAUACGUAGGGGGCGAGCGUUGUCCGGAAUUACUGGGCGUAAAGGGUUCGCAGGCGGCAUGGCAAGUCCGAUGUAAAAGGCGAAGGCUCAACCUUCGUAAGCAUCGGAAACUGUCAAGCUUGAGUGAAGGAGAAGCAAGUGGAAAUCCUAGUGUAGCGGUGGAAUGCGUAGAUAUUAGGAGGAAUACCGGAGGCGAAGGCGACUUGCUGGACUUCAACUGACGCUGAGGAACGAAAGCGUGGGUAGGAAACAGG
rnacentral:rRNA from 1 species